rnacentral:lncRNA from 1 species
GAUGAUGACAGUCACUUGCUCGAAAUUAAGAAGAAUCCACAGGAAGACUUGCAUGAUUAUGAGCACAUUAAGAAAAGAGAAAAGGUGUCUGAACAUGAUGAUGACAGUCACUCGUUUGGAAGUGAGAUGGAACGACCGGAAGGCUUGCUAGGUGAUGAUUCAUUGGAACGCUUGCGUGGUAAUGAGAAAAUUAAGAAAAAAGAAAAGGGAUCUGCAUUUGAUGAUGAAAGUCACCCCUUCAAAAUUCGAACAGACCGAGUGAUUGACUUGCUUGAUGAUGAGGAAACUAAACAAAGAGAACAGGGAUGUGAAUAUGAUGAGACAUAGAAGUUUUAAUCAUGUGUUAUA